GGUGUUGUAGCAGCUGUGUGCCGUGAUCAUAUGGGUACGUAUCUUGGAUCCUCAGCUAUGCUUUACCGUGGGGUCACUGACCCAACUAUGUUGGAAACAUAUGCAUGCAGGGAAGCGUUGGCACUGGCGGAUGAUCUACUAGUGCAGAGAUUGAAGGUGGCGUCCGAUUGCCUGGGAGUGGUGAAUGAUAUAAACAAGGGAACGGGAGGUUCUCAUGUGGCCAUAGUACAUGAAAUAAUGAAUCAUAGUGGCAGUUUUGCUUUUUGCUCGUUUGUUCAUGAGCCACGGUACCAUAACUUCAAGGCUCACAAUCUCGCCAAAUUUGCUUGUAAUCUGAGUUUAGGUAGACAUGUGUGGCUAGGUAACCCCCAUGAUCCACUGCGGGUACCUAUGAACAUUCUUGAUUAA
rnacentral:rRNA from 1 species